UGUGUUCUCUAGCUAGCUAGCUACAUCCAUGAGCACAUGCCAUAACAGCGGGAGCACUUUCUAUAGUGUAAAAUCUUGGGGAAAUCACCAUAAAAUCUUCUCUAACGAAAACUACACAAUCAAACAUUUUCCAGCAGGAAUCCUAUCCAAAGUCGAGAAACAUUAACAGCGGCAUCCAAGAUUCCAGGUGUAAUGGCUCUAGAGCAGUACACAAGCUCCAAGAUGCCGACAGGGGCUAGGGGAAGUGUCAUCCAGUCAAUCCCAAAGAAGUCUCCCUCAAUCUUCCAACCAUGGGCCAUUGGUGGGGGAACAUCAGGCUGACUCUUCAGGGACCUUCUGUAUAUGGCUGCCUGAUCUGCAGAGAUGGCUUCUGAUGCUACCUGACCUAAUGUAACAUGGUAAAGAUGCUC